GCAGGUGUGGUGUAUGGUACACUGCUGUAAUCGUUGAUGAGCAAAAUCAUAGUUAUGCAGUAGACCCGGGUUCGAAUCCCGGCACCCGCA